rnacentral:rRNA from 1 species
AUGACUGAUCCAGUCAGGAUCCUUGUAAAGCGUGAUGAGUUGACCCUAGAGGGCAUCAAACAAUUCUUUGUUGCUGUUGAGAAGGAGGAAUGGAAGUUUGAUACUCUGUGCGAUCUUUAUGAUACACUGACCAUCACUCAGGCUGUCAUUUUCUGCAAUACUAAGAGAAAGGUGGAUUGGCUUACUGAAAGGAUGCGCACCAACAACUUUACCGUAUCAGCUAUGCAUGGUGACAUGCCUCAGAAGGAAAGGGAUGCAAUCAUGAGUGAGUUCAGGAGUGGCACGACCCGUGUUCUGAUCACAACAGAUGUUUGGGCUCGAGGGCUGGAUGUUCAGCAGGUCUCUCUUGUCAUUAAUUAUGAUCUCCCGAAUAACCGUGAGCUUUACAUCCAUCGCAUCGGCCGCUCUGGGCGUUUUGGGCGCAAGGGUGUGGCGAUCAACUUUGUGCGCAAGGAUGACAUCCGUAUCCUGAGGGACAUUGAGCAGUACUACAGCACGCAGAUCGACGAGAUGCCGAUGAACGUCGCCGAUCUGAUCUGA